rnacentral:lncRNA from 1 species
UUUUUGCCAGUAAGACAGUGUCAUAUCUCCUGCAUUUUUUUUUUUUUUACAUUUAGGUUUUUUAUUAGACUUUUUAUUCUUUUUCUUUCCUAAAACUGAUUUUUUCCAAAGUUGACUUACAUGCACAUAAAUGACUGACAACUGAUAUAAUAGUAUAAUAGAAGCACAAAGAUAAAAAUAUCCCUCAAAAUAGGACAACACUGCUGUAAAAUGAUCUUUUUGUUUUUGUUGAUAGUGCCAGGGUUCCAGUCCAGGGCCUCACACGUGUUAAGCAAACACUCUACCACUGAGCUACCACUACCAGCCUCACUGAUUUUUUUUUUUUUUGAGUGACUAUUUCUGUAUUAGUCAGCUUUCCAUCACUGUAACAAAUACCAGUCAGAAAUAAACUUAAAAGACAAAACAUUUAUUUUGGCUCACAGUUGCAGAGGUUUCAUUCUUUGGUCUGUGGACCCAUUGCUGUAGUGCCCAUAGCAAGGCAGCACAUUAUGAUGGGAGCAUGUGGUAGAGGAGGCUGCCCACCUCAUCACAGCCAGGAAGUGAGAGAAAAAGGAAGGGGCCAGAAAAAGGAAGGAUGUCCUCUUUAAGAGCACAUCCCAAUCCUAGCUUUAUUCUACUACGUUCCACCUCUUAAAAGGUUUCACCACCUCCCAGUAGCACUAAGGACCAAACUGUUAAUACAUGGGUCUUUGAAGGACAUUCCAGAUCCAAACAUGACAAUUUCAAAUAUUUUUACAGUGAAACAUAAGAUUUUUUUUUUUUAAUAAAUUACCUGUUAUUUAUUUUAGUUUUCGGCGGACACAACAUCUCUGUUUGUAUGUGGUGCUGAGGAUCGAACCUGGGCCGCACACAUGCCAGGCGAGCGCGCUACCGCUUAAGCCACAUCCCCAGCCCCGAAACAUAAGAUUUUUAAAAAUAACUAGU